AAUUCACAAUCUCUCACUUGGCUGCUUCUAGCAAAGGGUGAUGUCUAGAGCAGUGAUUUCCAAAUGGGAGCAAAAGGAUCCAAGGGAAUGCUCAGAAAUAUGCAAUGGGGUACAGAAAGAAGACAUUAUUUAAGAUUUGGUUUACUUAUCUCAAAAAGAAGUGACUAAAAGUUCAAUGGGAGAAAUGAUAGAAGCUAAUUGUGAUAAAACAGAUAAAGUACAUGGCACAAUGAGUGUGAACCCCUGGAGUUUUACAAUCAUUUGAAAUUCAAAGGCAAAUGCUGAGAGCACACCAUCAUGAGAAUUGGCACCAAUGAAAAAGUUUGUCAAAAUCACUCUGGCACUAAACCACUGAAUGUUUUCAACACAAAUGGAAAGCUGACAUCAUUUAUAGACAACUCAUGGACCAACACAAAGGAAAAAAUGUCAGAUCCAGUGAAUUUCUUUUCUUGUAAUUACUGUAUGAUUUCAACAUUGGCGUCUGUAAGAAAUACUAUUUUCCUCUGAAGUGUUUUCUGUAGCAUUAUUUUGUUUACCAUGGGAGGUUUGUCUUCUCCCAUUUUCCUUAGAAGUUGAACACACAUUUUCAAAGCCUGCUAGUGAUUUUGAAUUUCAAAAGCGAUUACAAGCAUGAUUCAUGCAAUAUGACUCAUCCCUCUCAAAUGCUCUAAUUGUAUAAACUAUAUCCUUCAAAGCGUCUUAUGGACACAUUAAAUAUUAGUAAACACAUUUUCAAGUGCCAAAAGGUAUGGUUCCUUCACACUUGCUGAUAAGACUGUAAUUGAUCCUCUAAUUUCCAUGUAUGAUUCAAAAUAAAGCUAAGACUGUGGUAAGUCUCGCAUUUUUAACAUUAAACUUGAACACACCAGUUCUGCCACUGCAGUAGCCACAUCUUGAUUCUUAACAGCAGUCACCUUCACCUCCAUAAUUUCCCUUUUGUUGCUUCAAAUUAUUUGUUGUACUAAGCACACUUUCUCUACCAAUAAAUUCAUGCCUCUUA
ensembl:lncRNA LRRTM4-AS1 LRRTM4 antisense RNA 1